rnacentral:rRNA from 1 species
GAUGAACGCUGGCGGCGUGCUUAACACAUGCAAGUCGAGCGAGUGAGUUCUUCGGAACGAUCUAGCGGCGGACGGGUGAGUAACACGUGGGCAACCUGCCUCAUAGAGGGGAAUAGCCUCCCGAAAGGGAGAUUAAUACCGCAUAAAAUUAUCGAGUGGCAUCACAUGAUAAUCAAAGGAGUAAUCCGCUAUGAGAUGGGCCCGCGGCGCAUUAGCUAGUUGGUGAGGUAACGGCUCACCAAGGCGACGAUGCGUAGCCGACCUGAGAGGGUGAUCGGCCACAUUGGGACUGAGACACGGCCCAGACUCCUACGGGAGGCAGCAGUGGGGAAUAUUGCACAAUGGGGGAAACCCUGAUGCAGCAACGCCGCGUGAGUGAUGAAGGUCUUCGGAUUGUAAAGCUCUGUCUUCAGGGACGAUAAUGACGGUACCUGAGGAGGAAGCCACGGCCAACUACGUGCCAGCCGCCGCGGUAA